rnacentral:lncRNA from 1 species
CGAGAUCUAGUUCUUAUACUAGGAAGGCUACCAGUCUGAUGAGAGAAGAGCCAUCCCUAGCCUCAGGGAGUCCGAUGGAGGAGAGGCAUACAGUGUCCUUGGUGUGAACGAUUUCGCCAACCCUGAAGAUAUCACUCUAUCUGCGGCUUCUCUCGGGUUGGUCAACAGGCAGGGAAGGGGGCCUGCUUCAUUCACAGCUCUGAUAGACUUGCGCAAAGCCACAUCAGAGGGCCACGGCUUCUGAGCGUCAGCCUGGGGAUUGGAUUUUAUUUUGUUUUAUUUUAUUUUAUUUUUUUGAGAGAGAGACAGAAAUAGUGAAAGAAAGCACAGGAACAAGGAGGAGAGGGAGAAGCAGGCUCCCGCAGGGAGCCCUACAGGAGACUCGAUCCCAGGACCCUGGGAUCGUGACCUGAGUUUAAGGCAGAUGCUUAACCGACUAAGCCACCCAGGCACACCCAUUUCUUAAUAGACCUUUUCAGACCAGUUUAGAUGGACAGAAAAACCGAGAUGAUAUCCCAGAGAGUUCCCAUAUACCCCACGCCCAGUACCCCCAUUACUGAGAUGAACACUAUGGUUCAUAGAUGAACGCUAUGGUACGUUUGUUACAGUGAACAAACCAAUAUUAAUACGUUCUUAGUAACUGAAGUGCAUAGUUUAUUCAGAUUUUCUCGGUGUUUACCUCCUGUCCUUUCUCCUUGCCAAGACCUCUGCCAGAAUCUGGUAUCCUGUUUCCUUGUCACAACAUCUUAUGUAUUUGCUGGCUGUGACGAUGGAGCGGAUUUUCCUUGUUUCUGAUGACCUUCCCAGUUUUGAGGAGGACUGGGCAGGUAUGUGGUAGAAUACCCCUCUGGUGGAAUCUGCCUGAUGGUUUUCUCAGAAUGGGACUGGAGUUCAUGGGGUUUGGAGAAGAAAGCCUCAAGAGCCUCGACAGGGCCAUCGCCACAUCAGUCCUGUACUUGGUCCCAGAACUCCCGUGAGACCCUCCCGAGGAAUGGCCUGAGCUCAAACAGCAUCACAGAUUACAUCUCACUGGAAGGCAAUUCUACUUAUUUCUCUUCUAUACAAUUCAAGAAGACACUCAACUUAAAAAAAUAAAAUAAAAUAAAAAUAAAAAGCUCAGCAAACUGUUUCCCCCGGCUCUUUGGAGCCCUGCCAAAUAAAUAUAUCUUUAGGCAAAGAGUUUUCAGCUCCGUGCCUUGGUUUCCCUCUUCUCUCUCCCAUGGAGACGAGGAACAGAAGCUAUCCUUCGAGCACAAUAUGUUUCCUGGGGGUGGGGCGGGGAGAGCUCCUUAAGUACCCAGAGUCCCCAGUCACGAUUUUGUCACCGGCACGGGAAAGGACGGUGUUGUUUGGUUCUUCAGUGGGCAGGUGAAUUUUAAGUUGUUUGGAAAGUUGACUCAGAUUUGGUCAGAUGUGGAAGCCGUGGCCUGCCCUCCCGAAAGAGAGCGUUCAGGAACUGGCCGUGGAGAGGAGAAUUUCUGAAGCUGGUGGGAGGGUUGCUGGGAAGGACCCAGCUGGCCGCAGAUGCAGCGUGAUAAAAUGACAGAAGUCUGAAAGUGUUUCGUGAGCCCCGGGAACAGCAAGCAGCCCUACCUCCUCAGCAUGCUGGCCAAGGCCCUUGGCCAUGUGGCUUCAUCUGACCUCCUCUGGCCUCCUCCCAGCGCGGCCUGCCAUGUGGCAGGUGUAGAGGACCUGCUUCCUAGGUCAGGGCGGCAAGCGGGGUCUUAAGGUGAACUCAGACCCUUAGAGAGGUUUUAUGUGGCCACUACCAUCAGCCUUUGCGAUAUCUGUCACUUAAACCUGUUGUCAAGUUAGGAGACUUCAUGUCAAGUCCUGGUCUCCACUUCCUUGGAAAAACAGAAGAUCUGGCAACACGGAGCUCACCUUCUUGAACAACUGUAACCAGGCGGAGGUGGGAAGCUGCAGCUCCUUCCAGAGAGGACUUGCUGGCCUCAGUCCCCACUGCCACCAGCCAUUGGUCCCCCCUGGGCAGAAAACAGGGUCAGCCGCCUUUUAUCACCUUGCCCCACGGGCCAUCAUUGUUACCUGCUGUGCAGCCAAAGGCACUGGCCGGUCUGUGACCUCUGCCUGGGUGAGGACCUCCUGUCCCCUAGGCCCCUGCUGAUGCACAGACCCAGCCAUCCUCCCUGGCCCCGGGGUGGUGCUGAUGUAUACAGUUGCAGUGCUGAGGGUUGAGCUUUUUCUGCCUUUAAGGGGUAAGGUGCCAUUAUUGUGAGAAAGUGCAAGGCCACGGGCUACAGAGCAGGCCAGGACCGGUUCCUCCCUUCCCAGAUAACACACUCCCACUUCGGCAGCAACCUUCUGGGAAUCAUGCCCGCUCGUGACUUUUCCUUUUUUCUAUUCUAUUAGUGACUUUCAAAAAGGACAUUUCAGCCAGCUAAAGGGAGCAGAUGGCACUGUAUCAGGCCUCCUGCAGGCUGACUUUGGGGUGGGGGUGGGGGAAUGGGGGCUUUCCUGUGAUUAGUUCUUGUACCUGGUAAGCUUUGAUCUCUCAGGCUGUGGAGGUGGCUUCUCCUAAGGAAGGAAUCAGGCCAUGCUUAACCUUGAUCACCGCAAUCACUGUUCUCCUUGUCCUUCUUUUAUAAACAAGGAAAUUGGAACAGAGCUAAGAGAGGCUUUUUCAUACACUUUAGGAAAGAAUGAGCAAUGGAAAAAGGAAAUUGAGAGCUUUGGGGAGUUUAUAGGAGAGAAGCAUUGGAGUUUGAAAUAGAAGCUGGGAAUCCAUAUGUUGGGAGGAAAGAGAAGAAAAGAACAGCCACACGCACACAGAGCUUCAAGGGGAAGUGCGGAAAUCGUUAUGGGAAAGGGGGCAGGGAAGCCCACGUGGGUCUCCCUUUAUCAGCCCCAGAUGUUCAGGCAACGGCCCCCAGGAUGCCCAUGAAAGGGUCCAGAGCCUAUGGUGCUAGACUGAGUGUUUUCUUAACUGCCAAGGAGCACGUGACUUCGGUGGCAGGGAGCUUUCCUCUGUGUCCCCCAUGACUCCCCGAGGCCCUGCGAGGUCUGCACCACGCCAGGCAGAUACAGACGGGGCUACCUCUAGAUUUGGAAGUGGACAGCCACAGUUCACCUCGCACGGAUCCCUGCCUGUCUGCCCCCAUCAAGCCUAGGGUUGGCCCAACCUGCCUCCGUUGACCUGUGCCCCAGAGUGACCUAGGUCCGGCUGGCAAAUUCCACCUGCAUAAAUGACUUAGCCUCUCCAGCCUCAGUUUUACCAUCUUUAAAAUGGGAGGGGGGGUGCCUGGGUGGCUCAGUGGGUUAAAGCCUCUGCCUGCAGCUCGGGUCAUGAUCCCAGGGUCCUGGGAUCAAGCCCCACAUUGGGCUCCCUGCUCAGCUGG